GGCACAGUGGACGCUCACAGCCCCAGGGGCUACGUGGAGGUGGCUGUUCUGGGGAGAGCGCGACUCCUGGUUUGCACGUGGGGCUCGGGAAAGGCCACCCUCUGGGGGGGGGCUCUCAGUAGGCCCGCCCUCCCCUCAGCACCCAAGCAUGCGAGUGCUUCAUGGCAGCCACCUCCAUGUCCCGGUCCCCUGUCCAUCACCUGGCACUCCUGCUUUUCGCCUUGGUUGGGGUCUCGUUCUGGGUCUGAGACAAGCGUUGGGGUUUCUGGUGGGUGGGGGGCUGCUUGCAUGGCAGCGUUGAGCCUGUUUGGAUGGGAGUUUCAGUUUGGGGGGCUUCUGGGGCAGCUGGUCUUCGGGGGACAGUGUACACACUAGGAUUGGCCUGGGGGCUCUCUUCCUGCCCUGUGUGCACGGAGAGGCUGGUGGUGGGACGCUGACCCGAGUCCUGGGCAAGCGGCUCCGGCAUGGACGCCACCGCCCGGAGCUCUACUUGUGAGCAGGAGGCCCUCGCCAGAGACCAGGGGCCCCAUGCAGGUUUGGGAGCUCCUUCUGUCACCCCCACGUGAGGCAGAGAGGCCGGGAGCCUGACGAGCCUCCUCAGGAGAGGCUGACACCCACGCCGGUCACGCAUCUGGGCAGCGGUGCAGCAACCUGGACCAGGCCUUUCACAGGUUGGGUGGCGGCUGGGGCUGCGCAGCACCAGCCGCAGUGACCUCCUGCCCACGGUCCGGUCCGUUGCUGGCUGUCAGUGGGUGUUCGGGUCAUGAUGGGGAAGCCUGUUCUCGGGCCCUGUCCCCUCCUGCAUUUCCCCCAGUGACACCCUCCUGGUGUCUGUAGGAACCCGGGGGGUGGGGGGUGCUGUCUGUCCAGGUCCCCGCCUAGGGUGGUAGGCCUGCAGGCGGGGCAGCCUCCCGCAGCUCCUCCCUCAGGCAGAGUGGCUGGGCGAGUGAAGGGGCGCGAGUGCGGGCACCAGGGCGCACACUGCACUCUGACACCGGCCACUUCUUCCUCCCCAGCUGCCGGGCCGCAGGUACCGCCCCGGGUACAACGCCGACGUGGGCGACAAGUGGAUCUGGCUGAAGUGAGCGGCGCCCACCAGGCUGUCACGGCACGAGGACGCCUCUGUCCCGUCCCUCUCACGGACUCCACGGAGCUGUGCAGCUGCGGGAUGCAGAUGGUGGUGAGCUGCGCGGAGGGCCCAGCAAAUGCAGCCCACCCAGUGCGGCCUGUGGAGUUUGGGAAACAACUUCUCUUGCCGGCCUCGGGCCUUCUGGCUGUGUUCUGAAGUCACCGUGAUUGUCACUGGGGAGGAGCGGCAUUUGCUGUCAAGCCCAGCUGUCGCCGAGGCGUGGUGUCCGCCCAGCUCCGUCACCACGGUGGCGCGCUGUUCCUCUGACUUGAAGAAAUAAAGCCGUUGCUGUGGAGUCCCCUCCGCGUCUGCACA
rnacentral:lncRNA from 1 species